rnacentral:tRNA from 1 species
GGUGAGGUGGCCGAGCGGCUGAAGGCGGCGGUUUGCUAAACCGUUGUAGGGCCUUAAAGCUCUACCCAGGGUUCGAAUCCCUGCCUCACCGCCA